UGCAUACAUACAUACAUAAUCUACAUUGCACAUAUUCAUAAUUCUUUCUCUGUUUCUUUGAGUCGUUGUUUACUUACUUGAUUCCUUAAUUCUUUAUCUGAUUGUUUGCUUGCUUUACUCCUUUUACUUCUUCAUUCCUUGUUUUGUUACCAACUUCAGAGAUUUGUUGUUUACUUCCUUGUGUGCGUGCUUGCUUCCUUAAUUCUUUGUCUGAUUCUUUGUUUUACUCCUUUUAUUUCCCCAUUCCUUGUUACCAGCUUCAAUGGUUUGUUGUUUGUUGCUUCCUUGAUUCCUUGUUUACUUACUUCUUUGUUUCCUUGCUUCCUCAUUAGCUUCUUGCUUCCUUGCUUUCUUGCUUACAUGCUUAACUUGAUUCCUUGCUUACGUGCUUAAUUUCUCACAUACUGUCUUUUCCUUAACUACUUGAAUUUCUUUUCCUUAUUUUCUAACUUGCUUGCUUAUUUGCUCACGAACUGUCUCAGUUUAUCAAAUAUGUGUUUUAUUUGAGAUAGUUGUAGGACUAUUUCAAAGUCCUUCAGAGCAACCAAUCAGCUAAGUUAUAACUGUCUUAACUUGUCAGACCAAAGAAACUAAGCUAGACAAAGUUUAUUUGAUUCUCUCUUAUCUUUCAUUUUUAAGAUUCAAUGUGCAGUGCCAGAAGUUUCUAGAAUAUUUUCAUCUUGGAGUUAAACAUUACAUUCCGACAACAAUGAACUCCCACUUGCAAAUUUUAUGUUUGUUGAAGGUGUUGGUGGCUGAGACAAGCUCACGAAUCAUUAGAAAAUGUAGUACUCAUCGAUCUCUAUAAGAAAUGUGGAACUACAAAAGAGCAAGUUUAGCUAUUGAAGCAAAUUUUGGAUUAUAUCAGGGAGAGGCAUUCAAUGGAAAACCAACAAACACUACGAGAUCUCAUGGAAGGAAAUUUCAGGUCACGGUCGAGAAGGAAACAUCUAGGAUCUUGCUGAAGCUGUGUAUCGGUAAACUCAAGUGAUAGAGCCAGAUGCAAACAAGGCUUGUAAAAAGUUGGCAAAUAUAAAGUGCAUGGUCAAGUCUUACUAAAGUGGCUAGAAGGAAUGGAGAAAAAUCUUUUCAAAGGAAAGAGUCAAGUUGGUAUUAUAUUUGAGGCUUCGGUUGGAGAUGCUUAUCAAGAAAUGUGGCAUGAAGAUUGUCAACUCUGCAAAGCCUGUGGAACAGAUGAAACUCUUGAUAAACACGAAAGAUUAAGGAAGGUAAGGAGAAACUAUAUAUGCAGCUGGCUCUAACAUAAGUAGAUCGGAACAUUCAAAAGAAACUUCAUUAAAGACUAGUGGGUGGAAGAUAUUUUGGAUGAGGUCAACGAUGGAGACAGUAGGAUGCGAGUUGCGUGGCCAUACGCUUCCUCUUUUUCAAAAUAUAAUGCAUCGCUUUGAGAUUCAAGUAUAUUCAGAACCAGAGUCUUCUUGAAGUGGAUUAGUCAGACGAUGAACCACUUUGAACAAGUGAGAUCUCAUGGCAAGAAAUUUCAGGUCACGGUCGAGAAGAAAACCACUAGGAUUUUGGGAACUUUGGAUGGGCUUAUAUGCAACUAAAGGACUAUACAACAGCUAAAGACGUGUAUUUGAAAGCUACCAGAAGGAAUGUUGGCAAACAUAAAGUGCAUGGUCGAAGUCUUACUAAAGUUGUUGCAAGGAAUGGAUAACCUUUUCAAAGCAAAGAUUCAGGUUGGAGAUGCUUAUAACCUAAUAUGGUUUGUGAAGCCUAAAGAAACAUAUGAAACUUCUGAAAAACCCGAAAGAUCAAGGAACGUAAGAAGAAAAUAUAUGCAGCUGGCUCUAACAUAAAUAGAUCUCAACAUUUAAAAGAAACUUCAUCAAAGACUAGUUGGUGGAAGAUAUUUUGGAUGAGGAAAACGAGAAGACUAUAUGGAUGCGGAGUCGCAUGAUUCAAGUAUAUUCAGAACCAGAGUCUUCUUGAAGUGGACGAGUCAGACGAGGAACCACUUGACACAAAACAAGAUCAGCUCUUUGAACAAGUAAGGUUUGCAAAUGAGUUAGAUGAUGAACCUCUUUGAACAAAAGUUCGAUGUGGAAGGACUUCUAAUCAUCCGUGAAGGAUUUAUCUGAUAUAGAUUUGGAUGUCAGUAAUAACCAAGUUGUUCAGGGUUUCAGAUAUUGGCGUAAGAAGGCUGUCAAGUCCGUGAAGCCUAAGGAACAUAUAAAACUCCUGAAAAACUUAAAAGAUCAAAACUCAUGGUGACAAAAUAUGCAGCUGGCUUUGACAUAUAAAUCACAACAUUCCUAUGAAGUUUCUGAGUGCUAAAGUAUAGAUGAUGUUCUUGGAGGCCUUGAUUUGAUCUCUGGAGUUAUCUUCUAGUUUCUUAAGUUCAAUCAUUAUCCCAGAUUUCAUAGCCAAACGAACUUUGUGAACCAAAAGAAGCUAUGUGGUGAGUAAACAGGUAUAGACCAUUUACUUUAACAAUGCUGUCUUUCCUUUGACAGCGUGAUAUCCCAACACAUUGCAUGUAUGCAUCCACUCAUGUACACAUGCAUAUAUUCAUGUUUGCAUACAUAUAUACGCAUACAUUUAUACAUACAUGCAUAUAUUCAUGUGUGCAUACAUACAUACAUACAUACAUACAUACAUACAUACAUACAUACAUACAUACAUUCAUGUAUAUUUUGCUUCUCAGUUCAUUGUUUGCUUCUUUAUUUACAUUGUUAACUUGUUUUACUGGUUCUCUUCUAUGUUUAUUUUGCUUAUUUCAUUGCUUAACUUGGUUGCUUGUUUCUUUUACUGCUUGUUUACAUGCUUCCUGCUUUGUUCCUUUGAUCUUUGCUUACUCAAUUGCUUCAUUCAUUUCUUAACUUGCGUGCUGCUUUGAUUCUUUGAUUCCUUUUUUAUUUCACUGUUUGCUUACAUGCUUAACUUGUUUCCUUCAGUAAUUGUUUUGCUUAUCUAGUUCACUUCUUCCUUCUUUGUGUCUUUCAUUGCGACCAAUUCACAUAUUUUUAUGAUGAUUCGAUAGUCGCUUUUGUAUUCACAAGUGAUUUAUUAAAGUAUAGAAUCAAUUAAAGUUGGUUUAUGUCAACCUUGUAUUGGUUUAAUGUCUGAUUUACUCUCAUACUAUUUAAGAGACGAUAUUGUAAUCACUUUGGUUAAGAUAAUUAAUGAGAAUGAGUUUGUUGCUUUUA